UGGGGAAUAUUGCACAAUGGGGGAAACCCUGAUGCAGCAAUGCCGCGUGAGUGAAGAAGUAUUUCGGUAUGUAAAGCUCUAUCAGCAGGGAAGAAGAAAGACGGUACCUGACUAAGAAGCCCCGGCUAACUACGUGCCAGCAGCCGCGGUAAUACGUAGGGGGCAAGCGUUAUCCGGAUUUACUGGGUGUAAAGGGGGCGCAGGUGGUAUGGCAAGUCAGAUGUGAAAACCCAAGGCUCAACCAUGGGACUGCAUUUGAAACUGUCAAACUGGAGUGCUGGAGAGGCAAGUGGAAUUCCUAGUGUAGCGGUGAAAUGCGUAGAUAUUAGGAGGAACACCAGUGGCGAAGGCGGCUUGCUGGACAGUAACUGACGCUGAGGCCCGAAAGCGUGGGGAGCAAACAGGAUUAGAUACC
rnacentral:rRNA from 1 species